UAUAUUGUACUUGAAAACUCAAAAGACAGCGGUAAAUCAUUGUUCUUGAACAAAUCAACCAUAACCUUUCCCAUUCACUCUAUUCUUCUUCAAAAUAUCAUCAAGUGGUUGGAAGAAACCAUUCAAAUUUCCUCUUUCUUUUCCUCUUCCAUCUCCUUUUUUCUUUCUCUUUCUCCUGUCAUAGUCUCCCUCUCUUCUUUCUUCCUCUCUCCUUCCCGGUUUCUCUUUAUAUUUAUGUCCACCGUUCUUCCGCUUUCUCUCUAUCUCUUUCUCUUUUUCCAUCAAACCCUAGCAAAUCCAUUCGGUAUUUUAAGGAUUUGUUCACUAAUUAUGUUUCUGGUCUUGACGGUGAAUGAUUUCGUCGAUGAUUGUAGCGGCGACCAGAACAGAAAAGAUCUCUUGAGAGUGAAUGAUAUUUGGAGUCUUAUUUUUCUGUCAAUAUAUCAAGGAACCUUUCAAUGUUGA